rnacentral:rRNA from 1 species
AAUUUGGUGAUUUACAAUAACUUAGCAAAUCGCAUAGUGAAAACUGGCGAUAAAUCAUUCAAGUUUCUGACCUAUCAGCUUUCGACGGUAUGGUAUUGGCUUACCGUGGCAGUGACGGUUAACGGGGGAUUAGGGUUCGAUUCCGGAGAGGGAGCCUGAGAAACGGCUACCACAUCUAAGGAAGGCAGCAGGCGCGCAAAUUACCCAAUUCUAACAGCAUAAGAGAGGUAGUGACAAGAAAUAACAAUACAAGGCAGUUAAAAUGCUUUGUAAUUGGAAUGAUAGAAAUUUAAACACUUUUUAAAGUAUCAAUUGGAGGGCAAGUCUGGUGCCAGCAGCCGCGGUAAUUCCAGCUCCAAUAGCGUAUAUUAAAAUUGUUGCAGUUAAAAAGCUCGUAGUUGAAUUUCUGUUAAAAAUAACCGGUCUGCUUUUAAUAAAAGUGGUAUCUUGGUGUGUUUUUAGCAAUAAUGUCCUUUGAAAUGUUUUUUACUU